rnacentral:misc_RNA from 1 species
UAAUAAGUGUUUUAUGGCACUUUUUAAAUCCAUAUCCACCUUGUGUGCAAUGUCAGUCGAUCUUCUUCAUGGAGAUCGACCAAAACAUCAACCUUUAUCUUUUAACUCUUUGUCUGAAAAAUAUUAUGAAUAAAACAAUUCAAAAUA